AGCGAACGCUGGCGGCAGGCCUAACACAUGCAAGUCGAACGAACUCUUCGGAGUUAGUGGCGGACGGGUGAGUAACACGUGGGAACGUGCCUUUAGGUUCGGAAUAACUCAGGGAAACUUGUGCUAAUACCGAAUGUGCCCUUCGGGGGAAAGAUUUAUCGCCUUUAGAGCGGCCCGCGUCUGAUUAGCUAGUUGGUGAGGUAAAGGCUCACCAAGGCAACGAUCGGUAGCUGGUCUGAGAGGAUGACCAGCCACAUUGGGACUGAGACACGGCCCAAACUCCUACGGGAGGCAGCAGUGGGGAAUCUUGCGCAAUGGGCGAAAGCCUGACGCAGCCAUGCCGCGUGGAUGAUGAAGGUCUUAGGAUUGUAAAAUCCUUUCACCGGUGAAGAUAAUGACUGUAGCCGGAGAAGAAGCCCGGCUAACGUUCGUGCCAGCAGCCGCGGUAAA
rnacentral:rRNA from 1 species